rnacentral:rRNA from 1 species
GAGUUUGAUCAUGGCUCAGAUUGAACGCUGGCGGCAGGCCUAACACAUGCAAGUCGAACGGUAACAGGAAACAGCUUGCUGUUUCGCUGACGAGUGGCGGACGGGUGAGUAAUGUCUGGGAAACUGCCUGAUGGAGGGGGAUAACUACUGGAAACGGUAGCUAAUACCGCAUAACGUCGCAAGACCAAAGAGGGGGACCCUCGGGCCUCUUGCCAUCGGAUGUGCCCAGAUGGGAUUAGCUUGUUGGUGGGGUAACGGCUCACCAAGGCGACGAUCCCUAGCUGGUCUGAGAGGAUGACCAGCCACACUGGAACUGAGACACGGUCCAGACUCCUACGGGAGGCAGCAGUGGGGAAUAUUGCACAAUGGGCGCAAGCCUGAUGCAGCCAUGCCGCGUGUAUGAAGAAGGCCUUCGGGUUGUAAAGUACUUUCAGCGGGGAGGAAGGGAGUAAGUUAAUACCUUUGCUCAUUGACGUUACCCGCAGAAGAAGCACCGGCUAACUCCGUGCCAGCAGCCGCGGUAAUACGGAGGGUGCAAGCGUUAAUCGGAAUUACUGGGCGUAAAGCGCACGCAGGCGGUUUGUUAAGUCAGAUGUGAAAUCCCCGGGCUCAACCUGGGAACUGCAUCUGAUACUGGCAAGCUUGAGUCUCGUAGAGGGGGGUAGAAUUCCAGGUGUAGCGGUGAAAUGCGUAGAGAUCUGGAGGAGUACCGGUGGCGAAGGCGGCCCCCUGGACGAAGACUGACGCUCAGGUGCGAAAGCGUGGGGAGCAAACAGGAUUAGAUACCCUGGUAGUCCACGCCGUAAACGAUGUCGACUUGGAGGUUGUGCCCUUGAGGCGUGGCUUCCGGAGCUAACGCGUUAAGUCGACCGCCUGGGGAGUACGGCCGCAAGGUUAAAACUCAAAUGAAUUGACGGGGGCCCGCACAAGCGGUGGAGCAUGUGGUUUAAUUCGAUGCAACGCGAAGAACCUUACCUGGUCUUGACAUCCACGGAAGUUUUCAGAGAUGAGAAUGUGCCUUCGGGAACCGUGAGACAGGUGCUGCAUGGCUGUCGUCAGCUCGUGUUGUGAAAUGUUGGGUUAAGUCCCGCAACGAGCGCAACCCUUAUCCUUUGUUGCCAGCGGUCCGGCCGGGAACUCAAAGGAGACUGCCAGUGAUAAACUGGAGGAAGGUGGGGAUGACGUCAAGUCAUCAUGGCCCUUACGACCAGGGCUACACACGUGCUACAAUGGCGCAUACAAAGAGAAGCGACCUCGCGAGAGCAAGCGGACCUCAUAAAGUGCGUCGUAGUCCGGAUUGGAGUCUGCAACUCGACUCCAUGAAGUCGGAAUCGCUAGUAAUCGUGGAUCAGAAUGCCACGGUGAAUACGUUCCCGGGCCUUGUACACACCGCCCGUCACACCAUGGGAGUGGGUUGCAAAAGAAGUAGGUAGCUUAACCUUCGGGAGGGCGCUUACCACUUUGUGAUUCAUGACUGGGGUGAAGUCGGAACAAGGUA